rnacentral:rRNA from 1 species
AUUGAACGCUGGCGGCAGGCCUAACACAUGCAAGUCGAACGAGUGGCGGACGGGUGAGUAAUGUCUGGGAAACUGCCCGAUGGAGGGGGAUAACUACUGGAAACGGUAGCUAAUACCGCAUACCAUCGGAUGUGCCCAGAUGGGAUUAGCUAGUAGGGGGGGUAACGGCUCACCUAGGCGACGAUCCCUAGCUGGUCUGAGAGGAUGACCAGCCACACCGGAACUGAGAAACGGUCCAGACUCCUACGGGAGGCAGCAGUGGGGAAGAUGGCACAAUGGGCGAAAUCCUGAGGCAGCCAUGCCGCGUGUGUGAAGAAGGCCUUCGGGUUGUAAAGCACUUUCAGCGAGGAGGCGUUACUCGCAGAAGAAGCACCGGCUAACUCCGUGCCAGCCGCCGCGGUAAUUC